CGUUGCUUGAGAUCACGGCGCUGGAUGAGCGCGUCGGCGUCGUGCUGCCAUUGGGCGAGCCGGUGCGACCACUGUUCGACCCGGUGUGCGACGUCC
rnacentral:tRNA from 1 species